rnacentral:tRNA from 1 species
GGUGAUGUAGCUCAGUCGGUAGAGCAUCGGACUGAAAAUCCGUGUGUCGGAGGUUCAAAUCCUCCCAUCACCA